AGACACACUUGUGUUGUGUUUGUACAUGUAUCAGAGUACAUAAAAAAGUAAUGAAAGUUCUAAAGUAUCUCAAAAACUUUUAAUGCUAUGGACCUGAAAUCUUCACAGUCCCUUGAAAUAAUUAUUCUUCUCGACUUUGUCUGCAGGAUUUUAUCAUCCACAGCCACUUCCGGAAGGCACCGUGGUUGUUAGUUGUUAGCUCUAGCUUCCGGUAUGCUUUGCAGCUCUAACUUUACGGCUUUUAAAAAGUUUUAAAUGUGUUCAAACGUUCGUCCAGCAAACUUAUCUUUCGAAAUGGGAAAUAUUCAGAAGCAAAGCCAGGAGUGUAGGCAGGAUGAGGCAAAACUUGGACAACUUACACUUGUAUACACGGAGUUGUGGUGUGACCGUUGAUCUGUGGGAAGAUGCAUUGUUGGGGAAGAGCAUUGCGUGAGAGGUUUCAAUCUUCGAUCUCGGCUCAUCAACAUUAUUAUUCAGCCGGGAUUGUACAUUUUGCACAUAGUAAAAGGAGUCAUAAUCGUAUUAUGUGGCAUGAUACAAACCACAAAAGGAUCCCUGUAAUUGGAAAAGACAUCAAAAGCCUCUUUCUGCUUUGGAAUCCUGGACACAAAACGACAGACCUGUCUCCUUUUAAAAUCUAUUCCCAUACAAUGCAGCCGCUAAGAUGGAAUUCUAAAAAAAGAGGACAUGGACGGCAGAACCACGGCCGUGUCACUUCAGAUGCAUUUCUCACCGUACUGAGAAAGUUUGGAGAAGUUUGGAGAGGAGAACGGUUUAUGAAGUUGAGGAAGCCUGGUUUCAGCAGGAUGGAGUCACACCCCACACACACAGUGUAGCCCUAGCACAGUUGCAAGAAAGGCUUGGGUAACGUCUUUUAAAUCGAAAGCUUACAAAGUAAUUAUUACCGCAUUCUCUCGACUUGAACGCCGUCCAUAUCUCCUGUGGGACUUUUUAACAGACAAAGUGUACGGAAACAACCCACAAAACAAUCAAUACGUGGAAACUCAAUGUUGGACAGGGGGUUUACAGAAUCGACACAGAAACAAGACACAUGGCUAUUCAAAAUUUACAGUUGCGUAACCACGCUCGUUGGAGAGAUAUGGCCAAUACCUGGAGCAUACAAUUAAAGAUCCACCACCUUCCCUGAGUUAA